ensembl:snoRNA SNORA70 Small nucleolar RNA SNORA70
AUGUAACCAGUUAAACCAACUGGCUCUUUCCUUGUGGGCGGUGGGAUGCAAUGGCUGUAGGUAGCAGCCCCCUUGGCAGUUCAUGCAGCUGUUGCUUGGAUGGAUUAAAUUAAGGGACUUUGGAGACAGAU